CUGCGCACAGUGACGAGUUUGUUCUGUCGAAGGCGUGCAAUUCUCACAUAGAACUGCAGUAAAUCGCAUUUUUGCAGAUGCAGCUGCAUUUUAAUGUGAAGCUAUUUUUUACGUAAAACCUAGUUAUAAAAAAGUAGCUAUCGAUAAUUAAUCGGAGCAAGAAAUUCUUGUAAAUAACUUCUCUACAGCGGUAAACAAUUUAAUCAUAUGAUAGUAUAUGAUAUAUCAGUGAUUGAUGCUGCGUAAAAUGAGAAAUCUAUUAAAACCCGUAUCGUCAUUCGAAAAUCAAUAUCUAGACCUAUGAUCUAAAAGAUCAUUAAAUUGUCAUUAAAUAUCGCUAAGCAAACAACUAUUAGAAAAAUGUUCAAAGGUUUGGUUAGUUUUGCUUUGGGCGUGUAUGCUGGCAUGUACAUCAGCCAAAACUACGAGAUACCCCGUGUGGAUGACCCCUCCAAAAUCAUUCAACGGAUAAAGGAAAUAACGGAUGAAUACAAAAAGAAAUAGCUCAGCUGAAAAUGUACAUUGUGUUUACUUUGCAGUAAGAAUGUUAAACAAGUUAGGUACUUAAGUAUGUAACAAAUUUAUUUUAAUAAAACAUUUUUAUGAGACA